rnacentral:rRNA from 1 species
AUCGAACGCUGGCGGCAUGCCUAACACAUGCAAGUCGAGCGCCCGUAGCAAUACGGGAGCGGCGCACGGGUGAGUAACGCGUGGGAACCUGCCCAGAGGUUCGGGACAACCGCGGGAAACUGCGGCUGAUACCGGAUGAUACCUGAGGGUCAAAGAUUUAUCGCCUUUGGAGGGGCCCGCGUCGGAUUAGGUAGUUGGUGGGGUAACGGCCUACCAAGCCUAUGAUCCGUAACUGGUCUGAGAGGAUGACCAGUCACACUGGGACUGAGACACGGCCCAGACUCCUACGGGAGGCAGCAGUGGGGAGUAUUGGACAAUGGGGGCAACCCUGAUCCAGCAAUGCCGCGUGGGUGAUGAAGGCCUUCGGGUUGUAAAGCCCUUUCGGCGGGGACGAUGAUGACGGUACCCGCAGAAGAAGCCCCGGCUAACUUCGUGCCAGCCGCCGCAGUAAGAC